UACGUAGGUGGCGAGCGUUGUCCGGAUUUACUGGGCGUAAAGAGCGCGCAGGCGGUCGUUCAAGUCGCGUGUGAAAGCCCCCGGCUCAACUGGGGAGGGUCACGCGAUACUGUUCGACUCGAAGGCAGGAGAGGGAAGUGGAAUUCCCGGUGUAGUGGUGAAAUGCGUAGAUAUCUGGAAGAACACCAGUGGCGAAGGCGACAUACUGGUCCGUUACUGACGCUGAGGCUCGAAAGCGUGGGGAGCAAACGGG
rnacentral:rRNA from 1 species